rnacentral:misc_RNA from 1 species
GAACGCACAUUGCACCCUCUGGUAUUCCGGAGGGUAUGCCUGUUUGAGUGUCAUUUCACCACUCAAGCCUCGCUUGGUAUUGGGCAACGCGGUCCGCCGCGUGCCUCAAAUCGUCCGGCUGGGUCUUCUGUCCCCUAAGCGUUGUGGAAACUAUUCGCUAAAGGGUGUUCGGGAGGCUACGCCGUAAAACAACCCCAUUUCUAAGGUUGACCUCGGAUCAGGUAGGGAUACCCGCUGAACUUAAG